rnacentral:misc_RNA from 1 species
GGCAGAUGGGAGCAAUCAUAUUCAGAAAGAAGCUCCAAAGUGUACUUCUGUCGAGUAAUAAUGAGACCAUCAGGCUCCUUUAAAAUCUCAAGUCCCAAAAAAAUAAUGUGGGAAAAUCCAUUGAUUGGAUGGACAUCCACUGGAGACCCUUUAUCAUCCAUUGGUGAGGCAGGGUUAUCGUUUGAUAUUGUAGAUGCAACAAAGACGUAUGCUGAGAAACAUGGUUGGGAGUACGCUGUGUGACUGCACGCAUCACCAUAGAAUCCCUUCUAUCAUUCAAGCUUCUAAAAUGAAUGGAUGAGCACUUCUGGAUCAUCAACAGUGAGUUAUCUAAUGGUCG